rnacentral:snoRNA from 1 species
CCCAUCGAUGAUGAUGAGCUGAUCUCCUACAUCACCUCCGGCCUCGACAUGGAGUACCAACCUCUCUUCUCCGCCAACGACGCCCGCACCGAGCCCAUCAGCAUCGACGAUCUCUACGCCCAGAUGAGUAACUUCGAUC